AUUGAGUUUGAUCCUGGCUCAGAGCGAACGCUGGCGGCAGGCCUAACACAUGCAAGUCGAACGGACCCUUCGGGGUUAGUGGCGGACGGGUGAGUAACACGUGGGAACGUGCCUUUAGGUUCGGAAUAGCUCCUGGAAACGGGUGGUAAUGCCGAAUGUGCCCUUCGGGGGAAAGAUUUAUCGCCUUUAGAGCGGCCCGCGUCUGAUUAGCUAGUUGGUGAGGUAACGGCUCACCAAGGCGACGAUCAGUAGCUGGUCUGAGAGGAUGACCAGCCACACUGGGACUGAGACACGGCCCAGACUCCUACGGGAGGCAGCAGUGGGGAAUAUUGGACAAUGGGGGGAACCCUGAUCCAGCCAUGCCGCGUGUGUGAAGAAGGCCUUAUGGUUGUAAAGCACUUUAAGCGAGGAGGAGGCUACUGAGACUAAUACUCUUGGAUAGUGGACGUUACUCGCAGAAUAAGCACCGGCUAACUCUGUGCCAGCAGCCGCGGUAAAAU
rnacentral:rRNA from 1 species